rnacentral:rRNA from 1 species
GUAGGGAAUCUUCCGCAAUGGACGAAAGUCUGACGGAGCAACGCCGCGUGAGUGAUGAAGGUUUUCGGAUCGUAAAACUCUGUUGUGAGGGAAGAACAAGUACCGUUCGAAGAGGGCGGUACCGUGACGGUACCUCACCAGAAAGCCCCGGCUAACUACGUGCCAGCAGCCGCGGUAAUACGUAGGGGGCAAGCGUUGUCCGGAAUUAUUGGGCGUAAAGCGCGCGCAGGCGGUCUUUUAAGUCUGAUGUGAAAUCUCGCGGCUCAACCGCGAGCGGUCAUUGGAAACUGGAGGACUUGAGUGCAGAAGAGGAGAGUGGAAUUCCACGUGUAGCGGUGAAAUGCGUAGAGAUGUGGAGGAACACCAGUGGCGAAGGCGACUCUCUGGUCUGUAACUGACGCUGAGGUGCGAAAGCGUGGGGAGCGAACAGGAUUAGAAACCCUAGUAGUCC